rnacentral:rRNA from 1 species
UGGGGAAUCUUGCACAAUGGGCGACAGCCUGAUGCAGCAAUGCCGCGUGAGGGAAGACGGCCUUCGGGUUGUAAACCUCUUUCAGUUGGGAUGAAGGUUGGCCGGUGAACAGCCGUGUCGACUGACCGUACCUUCAGAAGAAGCUCCGGCUAACUACGUGCCAGCAGCCGCGGUAAUACGUAGGGAGCAAGCGUUGUCCGGAAUCAUUGGGCGUAAAGCGCGUGUAGGCGGUUUCGUAAGUCUGCUGUGA